GAGUUUGAUCAUGGCUCAGAAUGAACGUUGGCGGCGUGGAUUAGGCAUGCAAGUCGUGCGGAAAGGCCCCGCAAGGGGUGCUCGAGCGGCGAAAGGGAUAGUAACGCGUGGAUUACCUACCCUCGGGACGGGGAUAGCUGGGGGAAACCCCAAUUAAUACCCGAUAACGUCUUUGGACCAAAGGUGAAAUUCCGCCUGAGGACGGGUCCGCGUCCUAUUAGCUAGUUGGUGAGGUAACGGCUCACCAAGGCAACGAUGGGUAGCGGGUGUGAGAGCACGACCCGCAUCACUGGGACUGAGACACUGCCCAGACACCUACGGGUGGCUGCAGUCGAGAAUCUUCGGCAAUGGGCGAAAGCCUGACCGAGCGACGCCGCGUGUGGGAUGAAGGCCUUCGGGUUGUAAACCACUGUCAGUGGGAAUGAAAUACGGGAGGGUUCACCCUCUCGUUUGACAGACCUUCAGAGGAAGGACGGGCUAAGUUCGUGCCAGCAGCCGCGGUAAUACGAACCGUCCAAACGUUAUUCGGAAUCACUGGGCUUAAAGGGUGCGUAGGCGGCCCGGUAAGUUGGGUGUGAAAUCCCUCGGCUUAACCGAGGAAUUGCGCUCAAGACUGCCGGGCUCGAGGGAGAUAGAGGUGAGCGGAAC
rnacentral:rRNA from 1 species